AUCCAGCUGACGAGUCCAAAAUAGGACGAAAUGCGCGUCCUGGAU
rnacentral:hammerhead_ribozyme from 1 species